rnacentral:rRNA from 1 species
AACGAACGCUGGCGGCAGGCUUAACACAUGCAAGUCGAGCGCCCCGCAAGGGGAGCGGCAGACGGGUGAGUAACGCGUGGGAACGUACCCUUUGCUACGGAAUAGCUCCGGGAAACUGGAAUUAAUACCGUAUGUGCCCUACGGGGGAAAGAUUUAUCGGCAAAGGAUCGGCCCGCGUUGGAUUAGCUAGUUGGUGGGGUAAUGGCCUACCAAGGAGACGAUCCAUAGCUGGUCUGAGAGGAUGAUCAGCCACAUUGGGACUGGGACACGGCCCAAACUCCUACGGGAGGCAGCAGUGGGGAAUAUUGGACAAUGGGCGCAAGCCUGAUCCAGCCAUGCCGCGUGAGUGAUGAGGGCCUUCGGGUUGUAAAGCUCUUUCGCACACGACGAUGAUGACGGUAGUGUGAGAAGAAGCCCCGGCUAACUUCGUGCCAGCCGCCGCCGUAAUAC